CUCACACACUCCUUCGACCGACUCAAAUGAGCAGAGACCAUCUUUGUGACCUCUAGUAGGCCUGUCUCACCAAAUGCAGUUUAAUUUUUUGGGGUUUUUCUCGCCAAUUAACAGACAUAUUGCCAAAAACAUGAUGAUAAUGGUAAUUCAUUGGAUGGACGGAUAAAUGGACGGAUGGACGGACGGACGGACGGACAGAUGGACGGAUAAAUGGACGGAUGGACAGAUGGACGGACGGACAGAUGGACGGAUAAAUGGACGUAUGGAUGGACAGACGGACGGACGGAUGGAUUAUGAUGUGAGUCUUUAAUUUAAUCUUUAUUUUUCACAGUACAUGUUUACAUAAAUUCCUCAGAAAUGCAUUUUUAACUAUAACUGGGUUAUCUUGUGGUUGCCAGAUUUUUUUAAGUGAAAACUUCUGAGAAAAUCUUAAUAUUCUAGGCAGCAUAGCAUUCCAAGUGCAUUAAUUUUGUUACAAAUUUAAGAACAGUGUUUUUACGCUCUCCAAAGUAUGUAGAUGAUUAUAUUAUUGUUUUCUUUUUUUUUUUUUUUAUCACAAUUUACUUGCAAAUACAGUAGCUUUUGAAUAUUUUAAUGGAAUCACUCAAUCAGUCGAUUAACUUCAGAUAAUACUAUAUUAUUAUAGGGGAAAAAAACAUGCUUAAAAGUUCAGUUGCUAUCCUGAAGACAAACCGAGCUCAGGAUAUCAGUUUUCAUCAUAAUCAAAUUAAAGUUGCUAAAAAAGGAGACAGUGAGAGACUAGUUGUUCAAUUAUUCAAAACAUUGUCCUCAAACUGAGCCCACUAAGAAUGGUAAAAGGUUGUACUGCCAACAUCUCCUCCCCAGCUUAAAUUGAGAACAAAUGAAUAGAUCCUUCACUGAAACAAAGUUAGCCCUGAACUAUCUGCUGUACUAAAAAACUAAAUUAGUCCUAAGUAACAUUGUGUUCCCAGUGAUACCUGCCUGCAUGACAUCAAGGUGAUACAAUGACAGUGGUGUUCCUUACUGACGCACUAGCAUUUAGAAAUGUCACCCAAGAUGAGCUGAGGCAGUCAGCACUUUGAAGCCCAGCAUCGCUCCAUGAGCUCUGACAUCCUCUCUGCUCCAUCAGACACAGCUUCCUACAGAUGCACACAUGAAGACCCUGCUGAGGUUUUUGUUUCAUCUCCAUUCCAGUCUUGGAUUCAUCCAGUUCUAUUUGGCUCUUCUUUUAUAACUCCAUCUUUUGAGUCUCCCAUAAAUAAAGGCUGUUGAGCAUCUAUUUUUACAGGUCACUCAAUUGUGCGCCGGAAACAAGUGUGAUUGAAAAUCCAUGAGCUCAUGGCGGCAAGCAAAUGUGUCCUUGUGUGUGUGUGUGUGUGUGUGUGUGUGUGUGUGUGUGUGUGUGUGUGUGUCUGUGUGUGUUUUUAUCCUAGUAAUAUUCUAACAUCAGCAUCAUUUCAGCUGGCACAAAAACAGGAGACUGGAAGAAGGAGGAAGGCCGGAAACGAAGUAAGUGGUGCAGAGAACUUGAUGACUCACCAAUCACUUCAAUUAGGUCCAACAAAGAUCUGAGCACAGGGCUGUUGGCCCAUUUGUACACACUGCAAGCUGAAUGAAUGGUAGGUUUGGUACACUUUAGAGUAAAACAAUAUGCUUCUAAGCUUGAUAUGAUGGAAUCGAAACCAUAUAGCUCAUAUAAACUCAUGGGACUGAUGGGGCAAAUGGGGCCUUUAAUGGAUAGAGGUUAAUCAGACGAUUUUAAAUUAAGUUUCAUCACCAGGACUACAAGAAAAACCUUUCCAUCUCACUGUUACAGUGAAUAAUUUCUUCUUAAAUCAAGUUAUUUCAAAAUACCUACUUUUAAGCUGCCAACUUUGGAAACCAAAUCCUGCAUUCUGAUGGUUUGCACACACAUACGUUCUUGUGUGUGUUCUGCUGAGGUUAAAUGGGAAACAGUUCCUUUCUACUUUCGCCACAUGCUUGCUCAAAAGGAGGAAUUGCUGCACAGUUAAUGACACCAUACACCCAGCUGGGCUUCCUUAGAUACCUUUUUAACAAUCAACAGUAUCAAUUGAAUCUGACUGCAUUGUAUUAUAGAUGAGGUCCCAAACUGGAAAGUAUGAUGGUAGGAUGAAGGCAAUUUCAACUGAAACACCCCACAAAGUUGGAAUUAUGAGCUGGAAUUUCAGAGCAACAGGACCUUACCAAACGUCCGCACUCAAGAUGGCUGCUACUUGCAUCAAGAGUGUAAAACUUUCUUACUGUGACUGUUUUUCGCAGUUCUGUAUUUUUUUAUGUCAGUCAGUCGUACAAAUACUACAUGUUUAUAAGACGUGAUGUUUUAACUGUGUUUGUGUGCAUGAAAUACCGCGUAGAACAGUGUUUAUUGUCAUUAAUAGUGUUAUAAGACUGAAGUUGCAGUUGCUAGCAAUAAGAACAACAACAAGCAGGAAACAGGAACGCUAUAACUCAGAGAUUACGUAAACUCCGACUUCCAAGGUUAAUGGAACGCAUCAUUAGGACCCUUGUUAAGGUGCCUGCAUCAUGGACUCAUCAAAAUACCAGGAGAUUUUAAAUAAAACUCAGGAGGACUUCUCCAGUAAACUGCAAAUGUGCUCUCAUUGGGUCUUUUAGCAGGAUAAUAAUCCUAAACAUAUGCUCUAAUCAACACAGAAAUGGUUCGUUAGAUACCAAAUCAACCAGACCUAAUUCCAAGUCAUGGGAAGAAAUAAUAAAAACUGAGAAGAAAAUAUGCGAGGGUAGCAAUUUCAACUGGUGUUUUGACUUUAAAAAGUAUUUAACAAAACCACAAACAAGUCCAAAAACAGUCCACCAAAUUGACUUACUAACAAUGUUACCACAGCCUUUGGAAGAAAAACAGGCCCAUAGCAUCAUAGUACUUUCACUCUACUGAACAGUGGUCAUGGGGUACUUAUGAAAUGUUAUAGGACAAAACUGAGCGAUGUCAUACUGUACAAAAGUAUUAACAGCAGGGUUGGUAAUACAUAUGGCAAUGGUGAUUCAUUUUUUAAUCUAUAAUUUUUUAGCAUUCGAUUAUUUUCGCCACUUAAUUGAAAAAUUUCAAUCCGGUGUGAAAUUCUGCAACUUCCAUAAGAAAUGUAAUUAUUUUAAGA